rnacentral:rRNA from 1 species
CUACGUGCCAGCAGCCGCGGUAAUACGGAGGGUGCGAGCGUUAAUCGGAAUAACUGGGCGUAAAGGGCACGCAGGCGGUGACUUAAGUGAGGUGUGAAAGCCCCGGGCUUAACCUGGGAAUUGCAUUUCAUACUGGGUCGCUAGAGUACUUUAGGGAGGGGUAGAAUUCCACGUGUAGCGGUGAAAUGCGUAGAGAUGUGGAGGAAUACCGAAGGCGAAGGCAGCCCCUUGGGAAUGUACUGACGCUCAUGUGCGAAAGCGUGGGGAGCAAACAGGAUUAGAUACCCUGGUAGUCCACGCUGUAAACGAUGUCGAUUUGGGGGUUGAGCUUUGAGCUUGGCGCCCGUAGCUAACGUGAUAAAUCGACCGCCUGGGGAGUACGGCCGCAAGGUUAAAACUCAAAUGAAUUGACGGGGGCCCGCACAAGCGGUGGAGCAUGUGGUUUAAUUCGAUGCAACGCGAAGAACCUUACCUACUCUUGAC